AGCAGCCGCGGUAAUUCCAGCUCCAAUAGCGUAUAUUAAAGUUGUUGCAGUUAAAAAGCUCGUAGUUGAAUUUCGGGGUUAGUAGGUUGGUCAUGCCUCUGGUAUGUACUGGUCUCACUGAUUCCUCCUUCCUGAUGAUCCGUAAUGCCAUUUAUUUGGUGUUGCGGGGAAUUUGGACUGUUACUUUGAAAAAAUUAGAGUGUUUAAAGCAGGCUCGCGCUUGAAUACAUUAGCAUGGAAUAAUGAAAUAGGACGUUUGAUUCUAUUUUGUUGGUUUCUAGGAUCGACGUAAUGAUUAAUAGGGAUAGUUGGGGGCAUUAGUAUUCAAUUGUCAGAGGUGAAAUUCUUGGAUUUAUUGAAGACUAACUACUGCGAAAGCAUUUGCCAAGGAUGUUUUCAUUAAUCAAGAACGAAAGUUAGGGGAUCGAAGACGAUCAGAUAACCGUCGUAGUCUUAACCAUAAACUAUGCCGACUAGGGAUCGGAUGAUGUUAAUUUUUUAAUGUACUUAUUCGGUCGCC
rnacentral:rRNA from 1 species